rnacentral:rRNA from 1 species
UACAUGCAAGUCGAGCGAAUGGAUUAAGAGCUUGCUCUUAUGAAGUUAGCGGCGGACGGGUGAGUAACACGUGGGUAACCUGCCCAUAAGACUGGGAUAACUCCGGGAAACCGGGGCUAAUACCGGAUAAUAUUUUGAACUGCAUGGUUCGAAAUUGAAAGGCGGCUUCGGCUGUCACUUAUGGAUGGACCCGCGUCGCAUUAGCUAGUUGGUGAGGUAACGGCUCACCAAGGCAACGAUGCGUAGCCGACCUGAGAGGGUGAUCGGCCACACUGGGACUGAGACACGGCCCAGACUCCUACGGGAGGCAGCAGUAGGGAAUCUUCCGCAAUGGACGAAAGUCUGACGGAGCAACGCCGCGUGAGUGAUGAAGGCUUUCGGGUCGUAAAACUCUGUUGUUAGGGAAGAACAAGUGCUAGUUGAAUAAGCUGGCACCUUGACGGUACCUAACCAGAAAGCCACGGCUAACUACGUGCCAGCAGCCGCGGUAAUACGUAGGUGGCAAGCGUUAUCCGGAAUUAUUGGGCGUAAAGCGCGCGCAGGUGGUUUCGUAAGUCUGAUGUUAAAGCCCACGGGUCAACCUGGAGGGUCAUUGGAAACUGGGAGACUUGAGUCAGAAGAGGAAAGUGGAAUUCCAUGUGUAGCGGUGAAAUGCGUAGAGAUAUG